rnacentral:rRNA from 1 species
AUGAACGCUGGCGGCGUGCCUAAUACAUGCAAGUCGAGCGAACGGACGAGAAGCUUGCUUUUCUGAUGUUAGCGGCGGACGGGUGAGUAACACGUGGAUAACCUACCUAUAAGACUGGGAUAACUUCGGGAAACCGGAGCUAAUACCGGAUAAUAUUUUAAACCGCAUGGUUCAAAAGUGAAAGACGGUCUUGCUGUCACUUAUAGAUGGAUCCGCGCUGCAUUAGCUAGUUGGUAAGGUAACGGCUUACCAAGGCAACGAUGCAUAGCCGACCUGAGAGGGUGAUCGGCCACACUGGAACUGAGACACGGUCCAGACUCCUACGGGAGGCAGCAGUAGGGAAUCUUCCGCAAUGGGCGAAAGCCUGACGGAGCAACGCCGCGUGAGUGAUGAAGGUCUUCGGAUCGUAAAACUCUGUUAUUAGGGAAGAACAUAUGUGUAAGUAACUGUGCACAUCUUGACGGUACCUAAUCAGAAAGCCACGGCUAACUACGUG